AGUGUAGGCGGUUACCUAAGUCGGAUGUGAAAUCCCCGGGCUCAACCUGGGAAUUGCAUUCGAUACUGGGUAGCUAGAGUUUGGUAGAGGUAAGUGGAAUUCCGGGUGUAGCGGUGAAAUGCGUAGAUAUCCGGAGGAACAUCAGUGGCGAAGGCGGCUUACUGGACCAAAACUGACGCUGAGGCUCGAAAGCGUGGGGAGCAAACAGGAUUAGAUACCCUGGUAGUC
rnacentral:rRNA from 1 species